AGUCACAGUGAUGGCUGACCAGGGCUUCCUGAUCUACACAGGCCUCUGCUAUGGGGAGAUGGCCAAUCCUAGUGUCUGAGUGAUU
rnacentral:snoRNA from 1 species